rnacentral:rRNA from 1 species
GUGCCAGCAGCCGCGGUAAGGCGAACCGUGCAAACGUUAUUCGGAAUCACUGGGCUUAAAGGGCGCGUAGGCGGGUGAUCAAGUCAAUGGUGAAAUCCUCCAGCUUAACUGGAGAAGUGCCUUUGAUACUGAUUGUCUAGAGGGAGGUAGGGGCAUGUGGAACUUCAGGUGGAGCGGUGAAAUGCGUAGAUAUCUGAAGGAACGCCAGUGGCGAAAGCGAUGUGCUGGACCUCUUCUGACGCUGAGGCGCGAAAGCUAGGGGAUCAAACGGGAUUAGAUACCCCGGUAGUCCUAGCCCUAAACUAUGGGUACUAGAUUGUGGACUUUCAUGGGUUCACAGUCGAAGCAAAAGUGUUAAGUACCCCGCCUGGGGAGUAUGGUCGCAAGGCUGAAACUUAAAUGAAUUGACGGGG